rnacentral:rRNA from 1 species
AAUGAACGCUGGCGGCGCGCCUAAUACAUGCAAGUCGAGCGAGAAGACGUAGCAAUACGUUUGUAAAGCGGCGAACGGGUGAGGAAUACAUGGGUAACCUACCCUCGAGUGGGGAAUAACUAGCCGAAAGGUUAGCUAAUACCGCGUACGCUCCUUGGACUUCGGUUCAGGGAGGAAAGCGAUACCGUGGGUAUCGCGCUCUUGGAUGGGCUCAUGUCCUAUCAGCUUGUUGGUGAGGUAACGGCUCACCAAGGCUUCGACGGGUAGCUGGUCUGAGAGGACGAUCAGCCACACUGGCACUGCGACACGGGCCAGACUCCUACGGGAGGCAGCAGUAAGGAAUAUUGCGCAAUGGGCAAAGCCUGACGCAGCGACGCCGCGUGGGGGAUGAAGGUCUUCGGAUUGUAAACCCCUUUCGGGA